UAAGGAAUAUUGGACAAUGGUCGCAAGACUGAUCCAGCCAUGCCGCGUGCAGGAAGACGGCCCUAUGGGUUGUAAACUGCUUUUGUACCAGAGAAAACCUAUCUACGUGUAGAUAGCUGAUAGUAUGGUAAGAAUAAGCAUCGGCUAACUUCGUGCCAGCAGCCGCGGUAAGACGAAGGAUGCAAGCGUUAUCCGGAUUCACUGGGUUUAAAGGGUGCGUAGGCGGGCUUGUAAGUCAGUGGUGAAAUCUCUCAGCUUAACUGAGAAACUGCCAUUGAUACUGCAGGCCUAGAGUAUAGAUGACGUUGGCGGAAUAUGACAUGUAGUGGUGAAAUACUUAGAUAUGUCAUAGAACACCGAUUGCGAAGGCAGCUAACGAAACUAUAACUGACGCUGAGGCACGAAAGUGCGGGGAUCAAACA
rnacentral:rRNA from 1 species